rnacentral:tmRNA from 1 species
GGGGUUGACUGGAUUUGACAGCGGGUUGAGAUGGUACGUAAGCACGCGGAGGCUCGUUGGCUACCUCCUUAAUCUGAGUGAACAAAAAAUUAAUUGGCAACAAUGAGUAUGCUCUCGCUGCCUAAUCGAAGUAUAGUAGAUUAAGAGCUUAAUUUCCCUGCAAGGCGGGGAAACGAGACGUCGCUCCGAGGAUGUUGUUCCGAAUCCGAAGAUUCAGCGGCGCAGGUUAAAUCGGAAAUAGCCCUUGCAGGCUCCGAUGCAUGGGUGAAGAUUUAGGAGCUAAGGUGCGCAGUGGGUGGUCCAGGUCUUGCUGUCACUCGAAAACCGAAGGCUGGAAUAAGCGUGUAGAAAGCGUAUGGUUUCCCUGUUUGGACGAGGGUUCGACUCCCUCCAGCUCCACUA